CUCUCAUAUCCACUAAGACCUGCUGUCACAGUUGCAUGAUCUACUGCCAUAGAUACCUCUAGCCUGCUAGACUUUCUGAUCUACCUCCUGUAGCCUCCUGCUACCAUAGAUACCUCUAGUUUCCUGCUAGACUUCUUGAUCUACCUCCUACAACCUAAUCUGUUGUCUCAUACAGCCUCUUGGUCUUAUGCUGAAUGUCUCUUUAAGUGGAACACCAAGAACCACGUGUUCUUGUGCUUGUAACUGCGCUUCAAUCCACCUCUUUCAAUCCCCAAUGAGAGAGUCCCUUUCUCAAAGACUUAAGGAAGUCAGGUGUUUUGGAUUCAAGGGUUUGAUGCUUUUUCCCAAAUGUGUGGUUGUAGGAUUUCAAGAAUCAAAAGUGUUGAAUCAAUGAAUAAUGUCUUGGAUAUUCAAAUGAUGAUAUGAAUAUGAAAUAUAAUGAACAACCAUACUUUUGGACGUCCCAUAGGGUAUAUAUUUCUAAGGGAAAGUGUUUUGGAUGAAAAGGAAUUGAAAAACCAAGUGUUUGAAGUAAAAUAGAAUUCUGAUCAUUGACCUGAUGCUUGAGCUAGAAGCUAGCGAUAGGUGAGCGACAGCUGAGUAGUUGCUAGUAUUUUUAUCAUAACUUUCUCUCUCGAUAUCCGAUUCAGGUGAUUCAAAAUGAGUUAGAAAGCUAACCCAAAAGGAU
rnacentral:lncRNA from 1 species